UUUUUUUGAGAGAAUAUUCCACAAUGGAACGUUGGCUGUAAUUUUUUUUAGAGUUUUCUGUCAAUAUUUCGUUUGCUAAACAGGGUUUUUUUUCCCCACCCGAAUUUGCAGCCGUUAAAGGUGAACUGCGACCUCUGACCUCCUCGCACCCUCGCGUGUGGCGUCUUGUCGAGCAGGAUGGGCCCUGUGGAUGGAGGCAGGCUCUGCAGAACCGACCCCGCGCUGCCCCUCGGCAGUCUUGUGGUAGUAAAAACACCCAGAAGACCCUGACCAACAGAUUGAAAUGUGCACUGAGGAGGUCUUAUGAAGUGGCAGUGGAAGAGGCAGGAAAUCUCAGAAACGUGGACUGCGAAGGAAGGCUGCUCAUGUGCCACUUCAAGCCGCUAGACUUGCUCUCUCACGGUGUGAAACUAAUGUCUGAAAUUGAAAUUAUGAUCAGACAGUGUACUUCAAAGCAGCAGACAUCAAACAUGCACCAGGAGUCCAAGACUGAGGACAUAGAGAUAUGUGAUUCUGUUAUUAUUGAGGGCUUCAAAUUUCAUAGUGCAACUUGUCCAGAGCACUUAACAUUUGCUUAAAACUCAGCAAACCUAUCUAAGGAUGUUAAACAUUAAACUUCAAAUCAUAUACAUCAUACAGAGGUUUUGGCUAGUUGAACACAGUUUUGUUAGCAGCAUUUUAGUUUGUUAAACUAUCUCAAGGUGGCGCUAAAGUGCUGUUGAUUUGUUGGCCCCUUGUUUAAUGAUUGCCACACCAAGCUUAAUAAUCAC
rnacentral:lncRNA from 1 species